rnacentral:rRNA from 1 species
AAAAAAGGUAAGCUACUAAGAGCGAAUGGUGGAUGCCUUGACUGGUAAAGGCGAUGAAGGACGUACUAGACUGCGAUAAGCUACGGGGAGCUGUCAAGAAGCUUUGAUCCGUAGAUUUCCGAAUGGGGCAACCCAAUGUAUAGAGAUAUACAUUACCUAUAUAGGAGCGAACGAGGGGAAUUGAAACAUCUUAGUACCCUCAGGAAAAGAAAUCAAUAGAGAUUGCGUCAGUAGCGGCGAGCGAAAGCGUAAGAGGGCAAACCCAGUGCUUGCACUGGGGGUUGUAGGACUGCAAUGUGCAAGAGGUGAGUUUAGCAGAACAUUCUGGAAAGUAUAGCCAUAGAGGGUGAUAGUCCCGUAUGCGAAAAACAAACCUUAGCUAGCAGUAUCCUGAGUAGGGCGGGACACGAGAAAUCCUGUCUGAAGCUGGGUCGACCACGAUCCAACCCUAAAUACUAAUACCAGAUCGAUAGUGCACAAGUACCGUGAGGGAAAGGUGAAAAGAACUGAGGUGAUCAGAGUGAAAUAGAACCUGAAACCAUUUGCUUACAAUCAUUCAGAGCACUAUGUAGCAAUACAGUGUGAUGGACUGCCUUUUGCAUAAUGAGCCUGCGAGUUGUGGUGUCUGGCAAGGUUAAGCAAACGCGAAGCCGUAGCGAAAGCGAGUCUGAAUAGGGCGCUUAGUCAGAUGCUGCAGACCCGAAACGAAGUGAUCUAUCCAUGAGCAAGUUGAAGCUAGUGUAAGAACUAGUGGAGGACUGAACCCAUAGGCGUUGAAAAGCCCCGGGAUGACUUGUGGAUAGGGGUGAAAGGCCAAUCAAACUUCGUGAUAGCUGGUUCUCUCCGAAAUAUAUUUAGGUAUAGCGUUGUGUCGUAAUAUAAGGGGGUAGAGCACUGAAUGGGCUAGGGCAUACACCAAUGUACCAAACCCUAUCAAACUCCGAAUACCUUAUAUGUAAUCACAGCAGUCAGGCGGCGAGUGAUAAAAUCCGUCGUCAAGAGGGAAACAACCCAGACUACCAGCUAAGGUCCCUAAAUCUUACUUAAGUGGAAAACGAUGUGAAGUUACUUAAACAACCAGGAGGUUGGCUUAGAAGCAGCCAUCCUUUAAAGAAAGCGUAAUAGCUCACUGGUCUAGUGAUUUUGCGCGGAAAAUAUAACGGGGCUAAAGUAAGUACCGAAGCUGUAGACUUGAUUUUAUCAAGUGGUAGGAGAGCGUUCUAUUUGCGCCGAAGGUAUACCGGUAAGGAGUGCUGGAGCGAAUAGAAGUGAGCAUGCAGGCAUGAGUAGCGAUAAUUAAUGUGAGAAUCAUUAACGCCGUAAACCCAAGGUUUCCUACGCGAUGCUCGUCAUCGUAGGGUUAGUCGGGUCCUAAGUCGAGUCCGAAAGGGGUAGACGAUGGCAAAUUGGUUAAUAUUCCAAUACCAACAUUAGUGUGCGAUGGAAGGACGCUUAGGGCUAAGGGGGCUAGCGGAUGGAAGUGCUAGUCUAAGGUCGUAGGAGGUUAUACAGGCAAAUCCGUAUAACAAUACUCCGAGAACUGAAAGGCUUUUUGAAGUCUUCGGAUGGAUAGAAGAACCCCUGAUGCCAUCGAGCCAAGAAAAGUUUCUAAGUUUAGCUAAUGUUGCCCGUACCGUAAACCGACACAGGUGGGUGGGAUGAGUAUUCUAAGGCGCGUGGAAGAACUCUCUUUAAGGAACUCUGCAAAAUAGCACCGUAUCUUCGGUAUAAGGUGUGGUUCGCUUCGUAUUAGGAUUUACUCCGAAAGCGAAGAAACUUACAACAAAGAGUCCCUCCCGACUGUUUACCAAAAACACAGCACUCUGCUAACUCGUAAGAGGAUGUAUAGGGUGUGACGCCUGCCCGGUGCUCGAAGGUUAAUUGAUGGGGUUAGCAUUAGCGAAGCUCUUGAUCGAAGCCCGAGUAAACGGCGGCCGUAACUAUAACGGUCCUAAGGUAGCGAAAUUCCUUGUCGGUUAAAUACCGACCUGCAUGAAUGGCGUAACGAGAUGGGAGCUGUCUCAAAGAGGGAUCCAGUGAAAUUGUAGUGGAGGUGAAAAUUCCUCCUACCCGCGGCAAGACGGAGAGACCCCGUGGACCUUUACUACAGCUUGACACUGCUAUUUGGAUAAGAAUGUGCAGGAUAGGUGGGAGGCUUUGAGUAUAUGACGCCAGUUGUAUAUGAGCCAUUGUUGAGAUACCACUCUUUCUUAUUUGGGUAGCUAACCAGCUUGAGUUAUCCUCAAGUGGGACAAUGUCUGGUGGGUAGUUUGACUGGGGCGGUCGCCUCCCAAAUAAUAACGGAGGCUUACAAAGGUUGGCUCAGAACGGUUGGAAAUCGUUCGUAGAGUAUAAAGGUAUAAGCCAGCUUAACUGCAAGACAUACAAGUCAAGCAGAGACGAAAGUCGGUCUUAGUGAUCCGGUGGUUCUGUGUGGAAGGGCCAUCGCUCAAAGGAUAAAAGGUACCCCGGGGAUAACAGGCUGAUCUCCCCCAAGAGCUCACAUCGACGGGGAGGUUUGGCACCUCGAUGUCGGCUCAUCGCAUCCUGGGGCUGGAGCAGGUCCCAAGGGUAUGGCUGUUCGCCAUUUAAAGCGGUACGCGAGCUGGGUUCAGAACGUCGUGAGACAGUUCGGUCCCUAUCUGCCGUGGGCGUAAGAAGAUUGAAGAGAUUUGACCCUAGUACGAGAGGACCGGGUUGAACAAACCACUGGUGUAGCUGUUGUUCUGCCAAGAGCAUCGCAGCGUAGCUAAGUUUGGAAAGGAUAAACGCUGAAAGCAUCUAAGCGUGAAGCCAACUCUAAGAUGAAUCUUCUCUAAGCUCUCUAGAAGACUACUAGUUUGAUAGGCUGGGUGUGUAAUGGAUGAAAGUCCUUUAGCUGACCAGUACUAAUAGAGCGUUUGGCUUAUCUUUAAUAAAGCAU